UCAAUGUCACUCCAAACCACGACGUAAGCUCCUGAAAAUAGUGUAGGUAAACGUUUGCCUCUACUCAGCCUGCACGCAACUUUUGGGGAUGCGAUUCGCCGGGAAAACGACACGGAACGUCAGGAGGGGUCUAUGGCCGGUACGCGAAUAAAUUUAGCGUGGAAUUUUGUCUUAUCUUGAUGAAAAGGGGAAGCGUUAAAACGCAUAUCACCCCAAAUCAAAGAAGAUUUUUGCCCAUAAAUGUGUAAAAAUGCGCAAGCUCACUUUUUGUGGGGUAAUAAGAAUGGAGAGAAAUUGAUGAGUGCAGAUCUGAAGUUUUCCCUGAUGACCACCGUUGUUGUGCUGGGCCUGAUUGUUGCCGGUGCGCUGACCGCUGCGUUAAAUUGAUUU
rfam:Escherichia vulneris NBRC 102420 DNA, contig: EV10242026.